GAUGAAGAACGCAGUGAAACGCGAUAUGUAAUGUGAAUUGCAGAAUUCAGUGAAUCAUCGAAUCUUUGAACGCACAUUGCGCCCGCUAGUAUUCUGGCGGGCAUGCCUGUCCGAGCGUCAUUUCAACCCUCAAGCCCCCGGGCUUGGUGUUGGGGAUCGGCGAGCCUCCGCGCCCGCCGUCCCCUAAAUCUAGUGGCGGUCUCGCUGUAGCUUCCUCUGCGUAGUAGCACACCUCGCACUGGGAAACAGCGCGGCCACGCCGUUAAACCCCCAACUUCUGAACGUUUGACCUCGGAUCAGGUAGGAAUACCCGCUGAACUUAAGCAUAUCAAUAAGCGGAGGA
rnacentral:misc_RNA from 1 species